rnacentral:rRNA from 1 species
GACGAGCGCUGGCGGCGUGCUUAACACAUGCAAGUCGAACGGAAAGGCCCUGCUUUUGUGUGGUGCUCGAGUGGCGAACGGGUGAGUAACACGUGAGUAACCUGCCCUUGACUUUGGGAUAACUUCAGGAAACUGGGUCUAAUACCAGAUAGGAGCUCCUGCUGCAUGGUGGGGGUUGGAAAGUUUCGGCGGUUGUGGAUGGACUCGCGGCUUAUCAGCUUGUUGGUGGGGUAGUGGCUUACCAAGGCUUUGAGGGGUAGCCGGCCUGAGAGGGUGACCGGCCAGAUUGGGACUGAGAUACGGCCCAGAAUGCUACGGGAGGCAGAAGUGGGGAAUAUUGCACAAUGGGCGGAAGCCUGAUGCAGAAACGCCGCGUGCGGGAUAACGGCAUUCGGGUUGUAAACCGCUGUCGCCUGUGACGAAGCGUGAGUGACGGUAAUGGGUAAAGAAGCACCGGCUAACUACGUG